rnacentral:rRNA from 1 species
ACGGGAGGCAGCAGUGAGGGAUAUUGCACAAUGGGGGAAACCCUGAUGCAGCGACGCCGCGUGAGUGAAGAAGUAUUUCGGUAUGUAAAGCUCUAUCAGCAGGGAAGAAAAUGACGGUACCUGACUAAGAAGCCCUGGCUAACUACGUGCCAGCAGCCGCGGUAAUACGUAGGGGGCAAGCGUUAUCCGGAUUUACUGGGUGUAAAGGGAGCGUAGACGGUAUGGCAAGUCUGGUGUGAAAACCCGGGGCCCAACCCCGGGAUUGCAUUGGAAACUGUCAAACUAGAGUGCAGGAGAGGUAAGUGGAAUUCCUAGUGUAGCGGUGAAAUGCGUAGAUAUUAGGAGGAACACCAGUGGCGAAGGCGGCUUACUGGACUGUAACUGACGUUGAGGCUCGAAAGCGUGGGGAGCAAACAGGAUUAGAUACCCUGGUA